AAGCUAUGAUGAUACUCCCACUUCUGGUCCGUGUUUCUGAAUCCUGAUAAAUUGGAAGUCCUGAGCAA
rnacentral:snoRNA from 1 species